AGCGAACGCUGGCGGCAGGCUUAACACAUGCAAGUCGAACGAAUCCUUCGGGAUUAGUGGCGGACGGGUGAGUAACACGUGGGAACGUGCCUUUUGGUUCGGAACAACACAGGGAAACUUGUGCUAAUACCGGAUGUGCCCUUCGGGGAAGAUUUAUCGCCAUUAGAGCGGCCCGCGUCUGAUUAGCUUGUUGGUGAGGUAAAGGCUCACCAAGGCUACGAUCAGUAGCGUGGUCGAGAGGAUGAUCAGCCACACUGGGACUGAGACACGGCCCAGACUCCUACGGGAGGCAGCAGUGGGAAUCUUGCGCAAUGGGGGAAACCCUGACGCAGCCAGUGCCGCGUGAAUGAUGAAGGUCUUAGGAUUGU
rnacentral:rRNA from 1 species